GCUGGCGGCGUGCUUAACACAUGCAAGUCAAGGAGAACGUUUUCUUCGGAGAACUAUUAAACUGGCGGACGGGUUAGUAACGCGUAGGCAACCUACCUUUAAGAUUGGGACAACCCCGUGAAAAUGGGGCUAAUACCGAAUAAUAUAUAUUUUCUUUGGAUUUUAUAUCAAAGCAGGCUUCGGCUUGCACUUUUAGAUGGGCCUGCGUCUGAUUAGUUUGUUGGUAAGGUAAUGGCUUACCAAGACUACGAUCAGUAGGUGGCUCGAGAGGGUGAUCACCAACACUGGGACUGAGAUACGGCCCAGACUCCUACGGGAGGCAGCAGUGGGGAAUUUUGCGCAAUGAGCGAAAGCUUGACGCAGCAACGCCGCGUGAUUGAAGAAGGUCUGAGGAUUGUAAAGAUCUGUUAUAAAGGAAGAAUAGCAUCUAAUCUAACAAAUUAUUUGUUUGACGGUACUUUAUGAGAAAGCUCCGGCUAACUUAGUGCCAGCAGCCGCGGUAAUACUAGGGGAGCAAGCGUUGUCCGGAUUUAUUGGGCGUAAAGAGCUCGUAGGUGGGUUUAUAAGUGAAAAUUGAAAUACAAUGGCUUAACCAUUGACAUGGUUUUCAUACUGUAAAUCUUGAGUUAUGUAGAGGUAAGUGGAAUUUCUGGUGUAGCGGUGAAAUGCGUAGAUAUCAGAAGGAACACCAAAGGCGAAGGCAACUUACUGGACAUGAACUGACACUGAGGAGCGAAAGCGUGGGUAGCAAACAGGAUUAGAGACCCUGGUAGUCCACGCCGUAAACUAUGAGUACUUGGUGAUGGGGGAUUCGACCCUUUCAUUGCCGGAGUUAACGCAUUAAGUACUCCGCCUGGGGACUACGACCGCAG
rnacentral:rRNA from 1 species